rnacentral:lncRNA from 1 species
CGUCUACUAGAUGGGAGUAUAAUCCUGAGCAUUUUUAUUCUGAACUCAAUAGAAUUUAAUUGGCUGAAAUCCUCUUGGCACACUGGCAUGCAUGCAAGGAUGGUGAUGACAUCUGUGGUGACCUCUUAUCACUAGUUGAACGUUUCUAACCUUUCACCCCUGCCCCUGCCAGGUUCCAAGGCUCCCGAGGUAUCCCUUCCAUUCCGGGAAGGGCUUUGGGGGCCUUGGAAUCGAGGAGAGCCUUUUCUGAAAAUGGUCACCACCAGGAUGAGCUGUGCCAACAAGAUUUCAGCCACUGCCUAGAAAGUCAUAGUAAGAGCGCUGUAUGAAGCUGUCAUCCUAUCCAUUCUUUCCUCAUUCAGCUAACUGGAAUUUGCUUUGGAGUAAGCAUGCAUAGGAUUGUGCUGCUUGUCACAUGGAUGGUCCCAGGCACCAUAUGCUCAACAGCUGAGCUACAUUACCUAUACAGUGCAUCACUGAGGGAGGAGGGGAUUCCAUUUUCCACCUGCCUUGUAACCAGAGAUCCCUACUAAGGCACGUCUUGUUCUCCUCGAUUCUUCUCUGCUCCUGGACAUGCCAGGAAUUCAGCUGCAGUUGUGAGCCAGCGUGGGUUAGAUGUGAGAAAUGGAAGAACUUUUGCAGCUGCUCCUGAGUCAGGGAACAAAAUUUUAAGUGUAUUAAGUGUGUUAGCUGAAUCGAAUAUCUGAAGAACAAAAACAAAAGAAAGAAAGGAAAAUCUCCCAAAGUGUGCUUUUCAAAUGCUUGUUUGUGAACUAAAGGGGCUUGUUUGCAGAUCAAAAAUCGCAACCAGAAAUGUCAAAUUAUGACAAAGCACUCUUCAUUCUUGAGAAUGGGAAAAGGGAGCAAUUCUCCCUGCAUUCUUGAGCCAUAUUUUGCCACACACGCUGACAAAAUCAAAGGGGAUUGUACUUGAGGAUAUGAGAUCAAGUCAAGCGGGGGAGCUUCUCCCAGCUGACUGCUCUUGUACGUGGAACAUAAACUCAGGCUGCCUGAUGUUCUGAAAUCUUUUCGGAAUAGUUUGACAUAUCAUUAAAUGGAUCCUAAACUUAAUAAGAGUGUGUGAGAAAGAAUGUUCUGCAGGCACUUGUGAUUUGGAGGAUAGAAUACAUCAGGGAAAAUAUUAUUAGGUAUUUCACAGGUGACUAAAUGGUGGCAAAGUAGUUUGAUCCAUGUCAAAGGCUGUAUUAAAGCCUAUUUGGGAAUAUCAGUGGGGGCACCCUGUGUUAUCCCAUAAUGCCAUCUGGACAAAGACUGCCUUCUUAGGUAUCCCCUGAAAACUCCAAGCCAUGGCAAGGUUAAAAAUCAAUCCGUGACAUUCAGUCAUGUAGGUAUCCCCAAUAGGGUGGCCAUGUGAUCUUUUCACAAUAGAAUAAUGUCUACUUGGAUGGUUAUUGGUAGCAAUCUUCUUCCUGAGGAUGUACUUCAUCUGCAGAGCUGUCUGAUCCAAAUCUGAUUUGAGAUAAAGAACUAUCAUAAGGGAGAAGAGCAGUCAUUGAACAAUUGACUAAGUAG